rfam:Sorghum bicolor cultivar BTx623 chromosome 2, whole genome shotgun sequence.
GUAGUCGUAUUCGCAUCAAUCCACAUGUGUUAGUGUGGAUUGGAGUGGAACUUGAACUAAAUUCCACCCUAAUCCACUCCAACACACGUGGAUUGAGGUGAAUCCGACA